rnacentral:rRNA from 1 species
GAUCAUGGCUCAGGAUGAACGCUAGCUACAGGCUUAACACAUACAAGUCGAGGGGCAGCAUGGUCUUAGCUUGCUAAGGCCGAUGGCGACCGGCGCACGGGUGAGUAACGCGUAUCCAACCUGCCUUACACUCUUGGACAGCCUUCUGAAAGGGAGAUUAAUACAAGAUGUUAUCAUGAGUAAGUAUUUUCACAUGAUUAAAGGUUUACCGGUGUAAGAUGGGGAUGCGUUCCA